CACAACCUUCAAGCCCGGCUUGUAGUUGGGGUCCGGUCUCUCCCCGACCGCCCCGAAAGACAACGGCGGCGUCGUGCGGACCGUGGUGCAACGAGCUGUCUCCAGCACGCACCGGCGGGUUAGCACGGCCCAGCCUCUACUCCCCCUUUUUAUUUUAUCAGGUUGACCUCGGAUCAGGUAGGAAUACCCGCUGAACUUAA
rnacentral:misc_RNA from 1 species